rnacentral:sRNA from 1 species
GUGCAGCCGGUAUGUGAACCCCAUCUGGCUGACUCCUGGGGGCCCCAGCCAGGGCAGGGUGUGUGUGUGCAGAAUAAGCAGGGCCAGGGCCCCGCCCUGGCAUGGCUCAGCAGAGCCCUCCUCCCUCCCACCUCCCACCCUGCUGCCUUCAUCCCCCAGGCGCUGAAGUACGCCUUCCAGACCCACGACCGCCUGUGCUUUGUGAUGGAGUAUGCCAACGGGGGUGAGCUGUUCUUCCACCUGUCCCGGGAGCGUGUCUUCACAGAGGAGCGGGCCCGGUUUUAUGGUGCAGAGAUUGUCUCGGCUCUUGAGUACUUGCACUCACGGGACGUGGUAUACCGCGACAUCAAGCUGGAAAACCUCAUGCUGGACAAAGAUGGCCACAUCAAGAUCACUGACUUUGGCCUCUGCAAAGAGGGCAUCAGUGACGGGGCCACCAUGAAAACCUUCUGUGGGACCCCGGAGUACCUGGCGCCUGAGGUGCUGGAGGACAAUGACUAUGGCCGGGCCGUGGACUGGUGGGGGCUGGGUGUGGUCAUGUACGAGAUGAUGUGCGGCCGC